GACGAACCGAGCGAACGUUGUUCGGAAUCACUGGGCUUAAAGGGCGCGUAGGCGGGCUGCCAAGUCCGGGGUGAAAUCCUCCGGCUUAACCGGAGAAUGGCCUCGGAUACUGGCGGCCUCGAGGGGGGUAGGGGCGUGCGGAACUGUGGGUGGAGCGGUGAAAUGCGUUGAGAUCCACAGGAACUCCGGUGGCGAAGGCGGCACGCUGGACCCUUUCUGACGCUGAGGCGCGAAAGCCAGGGGAGCGAACGGG
rnacentral:rRNA from 1 species